rnacentral:rRNA from 1 species
UUUGGCCUACGGGGCGCAGCAGUGGGGAAUAUUGGGCAAUGGGCGCAAGCCUGACCCAGCAACGCCGCGUGAAGGAAGAAGGCUUUCGGGUUGUAAACUUCUUUUCUCAGGGACGAAGCAAGUGACGGUACCUGAGGAAUAAGCCACGGCUAACUACGUGCCAGCAGCCGCGGUAAUACGUAGGUGGCAAGCGUUAUCCGGAUUUACUGGGUGUAAAGGGCGGGUAGGCGGGAAAGCAAGGCAGAUGUGAAAACCACGGG